CAAUAGCGUAUAUUUAAGUUGUUGCAGUUAAAAAGCUCGUAGUUGGAUUUCGGUUGAGAACGGCCGGUCCGCCGUUUGGUGUGCACUGGCUGGUUUCAACUUCCUGUAGAGGACGCGCUCUGGCUUCACGGCUGGACGCGGAGUCUACGUGGUUACUUUGAAAAAAUUAGAGUGUUCAAAGCGGGCUUACGCUUGAAUAUUUCAGCAUGGAAUAACACUACAGGACUCCUGUCCUAUUUCGUUGGUCUCGGGACGGGAGUAAUGAUUAAGAGGAACAGUUGGGGGCAUUCGUAUUUCAUUGUCAGAGGUGAAAUUCUUGGAUUUAUGAAAGACGAACUUCUGCGAAAGCAUUUGCCAAGGAUGUUUUCAUUAA
rnacentral:rRNA from 1 species